rfam:Zea mays cultivar B73 chromosome 7, whole genome shotgun sequence.
GUAUAUUUUUGGCCUUUUGGCUAAGAUAAAGUGUAAUAUUUAUUCUUAUUAGUUUAAUAUCUGGUAUGCCAACCAUAUAUUCACUUUGAUAUUAAAUUUAUUUUUAUGAGUAUUUCAUGUGGAGGAUCCACCAUACUAGUUUACUGGUCCCAUCGCAACGCACCGGCAUUACACUGAUGGCUGGAAACAAGCCGA